rnacentral:rRNA from 2 species
UCCUGCAGUAGUGGUUGAUCCUGCCAGUGUGGGCCGAUCAAUGGCUCAUUAAAUCAGUUAUGGUUCCUUAGAUUGUACCCACAUUUACUUGGAUAACUGUGGUAAUUCUAGAGCUAAUACAUGCAAACUAGAGUUCCAACCAGAGAUGGAAGGAACGCUUUUAUUAGAUCAAAACCAAUCGGUGGUCUCGGCCAUCGUUUCCUUUGGUGACUCUGAAUAACUUUUAGCUGAUCGUAUGGUCUCGUACCGACGACAAAUCUUUCAAAUGUCUGCCUUAUCAACUGUCGAUGGUAGGUUCUGCGCCUACCAUGGUUGUAACGGGUAACGGGGAAUCAGGGUUCGAUUCCGGAGAGGGAGCCUGAGAAACGGCUACCACAUCCAAGGAAGGCAGCAGGCGCGCAAAUUACCCACUCCCGGCACGGGGAGGUAGUGACGAAAAAUAACGAUACGGGACUCAUCCGAGGCCUCGUAAUCGGAAUGAGUACACUUUAAAUCCUUUAACGAGGAACAAUUGGAGGGCAAGUCUGGUGCCAGCAGCCGCGGUAAUUCCAGCUCCAAUAGCGUAUAUUAAAGUUGUUGCGGUUAAAAAGCUCGUAGUUGAAUCUGUGUGCCACACUGUCGGUUCACCGUUCACGGUGUAAACUGGCAUGCUUGUGGGACGUCCUACCGGUGGAUUUAGCUUUGGUGUAACAGCUAAAGCGGUCCAAUAAUCCUGUCGCGGUGCUCUUAAUUGAGUGUCGAGAUGGGCCGGUACGUUUACUUUGAACAAAUUAGAGUGCUCAAAGCAGGCUUAUUAUUGCCUGAAUACUGUGUGCAUGGAAUAAUAGAAUAGGAUCUCGGUUCUAUUUUGUUGGUUUUCGGAAUUCCGAGAUAAUGAUUAAUAGGGACAGAUGGGGGCAUUCGUAUUGCGACGUUAGAGGUGAAAUUCUUGGAUCGUCGCAAGACGAACAGAAGCGAAAGCAUUUGCCAAAAAUGUUUUCAUUAAUCAAGAACGAAAGUUAGAGGUUCGAAGGCGAUCAGAUACCGCCCUAGUUCUAACCAUAAACGAUGCCAGCUAGCGAUCCGCCGAAGUUCCUCCGAUGACUCGGCGGGCAGCUUCCGGGAAACCAAAGCUUUUGGGUUCCGGGGGAAGUAUGGUUGCAAAGCUGAAACUUAAAGGAAUUGACGGAAGGGCACCACCAGGAGUGGAGCCUGCGGCUUAAUUUGACUCAACACGGGAAACCUCACCAGGCCCGGACACCGGAAGGAUUGACAGAUUGAUAGCUCUUUCUUGAUUCGGUGCGUGCCAUGCAUGGCCAUCCUG